CAGCCGCCGCGGUAAUACGAAGGGUGCAAGCGUUAAUCGGAAUUACUGGGCGUAAAGCGUGCGUAGGCGGUUUGUUAAGUCUGUUGUGAAAUCCCCGGGCUCAACCUGGGAAUGGCAAUGGAUACUGGCAAGCUAGAGUGUGUCAGAGGAUGGUGGAAUUCCCGGUGUAGCGGUGAAAUGCGUAGAGAUCGGGAGGAACAUCAGUGGCGAAGGCGGCCAUCUGGGACAACACUGACGCUGAGGCACGAAAGCGUGGGGAGCAAACAGGAUUAGAGACCCCUGUAGUCCCUGUCUCUUAUAC
rnacentral:rRNA from 1 species